rnacentral:rRNA from 1 species
AGCGGCGGACGGGUGAGUAACACGUGGGUAACCUGCCUGUAAGACUGGGAUAACUCCGGGAAACCGGGGCUAAUACCGGAUGCUUGAUUGAACCGCAUGGUUCAAUUAUAAAAGGUGGCUUUUAACCUCCACUUACAGAUGGACCCGCGGCGCAUUACCAAGUUGGGGAGGUACCGCCCCACCAAGGCAACAAUGCGUACCCAACCUGAGAGGGUGAUCCGCCCCCCCGGGAAUGAAACCCGGCCCAAACUCCUACGGGAGGCAGCAGUAGGGAAUCUUCCGCAAUGGACCAAAGUCUGACGGAACAACGCCCCGGGAGUUAAGAAAGGUUUCCGGAUCGAAAAACUCUGUUGUUAGGGAAAAACAAGUACCGUUCAAAUAGGGCGGUACCUUGACGGUACCUAACCAGAAAGCCACGGCUAACUACGUGCCAGCAGCCGCGGUAAUACGUAGGUGGCAAGCGUUGUCCGGAAUUAUUGGGCGUAAAGCGCGCGCAGGCGGUUUCUUAAGUCUGAUGUGAAAGCCCCCGGCUCAACCGGGGAGGGUCAUUGGAAACUGGGGAACUUGAGUGCA